rnacentral:rRNA from 1 species
CCUACGGGAGGUAGCAGUGGGGGAUAUUGCACAAUGGGGGAAACCCUGAUGCAGCGACGCCGCGUGUGGGAAGACGGUCCUCUGGAUUGUAAACCACUGUCCCCAGGGACGAAGAUGACGGUACCUGGGGAGGAAGCUCCGGCUAACUACGUGCCAGCAGCCGCGGUAAGACGUAGGGAGCAAGCGUUGUCCGGAAUUACUGGGUUUAAAGGGAGCGUAGGCGGGAUGGCAAGUUGGGUGUUAAAUCUACCGGCUCAACUGGUAGUCGCACUCAAAACUGCUAUUCUUGAGUGAAGUAGAGGCAGGAGGAAUUACUAGUGUAGCGGUGAAAUGCGUAGAUAUUAGGAGGAACACCAGUGGCGAAGGCGGCCUGCUGGGCUUUUACUGACGCUGAGGCUCGAAAGUGUGGGGAGCAAACAGGAUUAGAUACCCUUGUAGUC